UAUCAUUACUUUCUUCCGUCAUUUUGCUGCAUUCACAUCUGUGUUUGCUUAUUGUACACCCAAACAGAUCAGAUAUUUCAACGGAAAAAAAAAUCAGAGAAGCCAUCAUCUUCAUUUAAAUUAUUGGAGGAUUUGAAUGAACCUUCAACUUUUCAGUUUCAUUCUGGAAAACUUCCAAACACCUUUCAAACUUUACAGUUGGUUCAGAUCUAUCAGUCUCCAUGUCGGUGGACUGCACAAGUGGACAAGUUUAUCUGCUUCCUGACCGCUGUGUUUGCUGUAUUGUAGCACUGGCAGAGAGUAGGUGCUCAGUGCAUAUAUGGUGAAGGAGCUUUCAAUGGCCAUUGAUCUUUGACAAGCUUUCAGGAAAGCCAUGAUUGAUAAGAAAAAAACAUUGAGGCUGCAGGCUCCUGCUUUGAACUGUGCAGAUGAGAGAUGUGCGGAGAAUGUUACAAGCCCCCUGCUUUGACACAGAUAAGAGAAACAGAGAGAAGAUAGAGCCCUGGGUCAGAAGGCUGAAAGCCUCAAGUAAAGCCCAUCUUGGAUGAAGCUUGAAGAAAUCGUGUUAAGUGAAAUAAGUCAGAAACAGAAGGGUGAAUAUGGGAUGAUCUCACUCAUAGGAAGAAGUUGAAAAACAAGAUCAGAAGAGAAAAUACUAAGCAGAACCUGAACUGGAGUUGGUGUAUUGCACCGAAGUAAAAGACUCUUGGGUGGGUGGUGGGGGAGAGUACAGGUCCUGGAAAAGGAUGACAGAGGACUUAGUGAGGACUGUAUUUUGAUGUGGAAAACUGAGAAAUGUUAUGCAUGUACAAACUAUUGUAUUUACUGGUGACUGUAAAACAUUAAUCCCCCAGUAAAGGGAAAAAGUGUUAAAUAAAAAAAUUAAAAAAAAAGCUAAAUGUUAUCAUUGUUGGGCUAAUGUGGGACAGAAGAAUAAAAACAUAGAGGACUUUUGGGUCAGAAAAAGUACUCUGUAUGACAUUAUAGAAUUGAAUAUUUUCAGCAUUUUUCCAAAUCGAUAAUAUGUACAAUAUCAAUCAUGAACAGUACUGUAAAAGAGAGAAUUUGAGUGACUCAAAGAAGAACUUGAACUGGAGUUGGUACAUUGCACCAAAGUAAAAGACUCUGGGGUGGGGGAGAAGGUUCAGCUCCUGGAAGACAGAAGAGGACCUAGUGGAAUUUGAAUUGUUAUGUAGAAAACUGAGAAAUGAGAGUCAGGCUAUAGUGCAGCGGGUUAAGCACAGGUGGCACAAAGCGUAAGGACCGGCAUAAGGAUCCCAGUUCAAGCCCCAGGCUCCCCACCUAUAGGGGAGUCGCUUCACAAGCAGUGAAGCAGGUCUGCAAGUGUCUAUCUCUCUGUCUUCCCCUCCUCUCUCCAUUUCUCCCUGUCCUAUCCAACAACGACAACAUCAAUGAUAACUACAACAAUAAAACAACAAGGGCAACA